GAUGAACGCUGGCGGCGUGCCUAAUACAUGCAAGUCGAGCGAACAGACGAGGAGCUUUCUCCUCUGACGUUAGCGGCGGACGGGUGAGUAACACGUGGAUAACCUACCUAUAAGACUGGGAUAACUACGGGAAACCGGAGCUAAUACCGGAUAAUAUAUUGAACCGCAUGGUGCAAUAGUGAAAGACGGUUUUGCUGUCACUUAUAGAUGGAUCCGCGCCGCAUUAGCUAGUUGGUAAGGUAACGGCUUACCAAGGCAACGAUGCGUAGCCGACCUGAGAGGGUGAUCGGCCACACUGGAACUGAGACACGGCCCAGACUCCUACGGGAGGCAGCAGUAGGGAAUCUUCCGCAAUGGGCGAAAGCCUGACGGAGCAACGCCGCGUGAGUGAUGAAGGUCUUCGGAUCGUAAAACGCUGUUAUUAGGGAAGAACAAAUGUGUAAGUAACUAUGCACGUCUUGACGGUACCGAAUCAGAAAGCCACGGCUAACUACGUG
rnacentral:rRNA from 1 species